GUUAUCAUUUUCUUCUCUAAUCACUGGCUGUCUCUUUCAAUGUUUGUUUUUGUAAUAUGUUUGUUUGGCUUUUAAUUGCAGGUUUUUUUUUUUGCCAUGUUUUUAUUCAUUGGUUUAAAUAAUAUGUAUUCUCCGAGAGGCAGCAAUGCUUAUGGUGCCCAAUCUGCCUAUGCUCAAUAUGUAAGAACUUUCUUUUACGUGUUGCUCACUGCAAAGUAAAAAUUGCAGCUUUUCUUGUAAUUAGGCCAGAUUAAUAUUUUUCACCGUCUUUCGAUUUUGAUGACAUAUGAAUGACUGUGAAAAUUGCUGUUCUUGGGCAAUUUCUUUCCGUGUAUGUUAGUGUGUGUUUGUUAUUGCGAUGAGGUGAUUUUCAAAAUUGAUUUUCAAUUGAAAAUGCAUUAAAAUGAUUUAUUAUUUUUAUUUUUGAAAUCAUCACAUCAAAACCAUUAGAAAUUACUUCAAAAAGCAUCAAUUUGAUGCUUUUGAGGUGAAAAUCAAUUUGAAAAGCAGAAGCAAACGCAAUGCCAAAGCUUGAUUAGUUGAUAAUUAUCCAUGCUGUGUUCUGGUGUAAUUUUUUUCUUCCUGUGUGAGUGGUCGUGGAGUAAAGGUCUCAUUUUUAAAUUUGAAAUCUCGUCUUCUCGCUAUUUGUUUUUCUUUUUUCACAACUGGGAGCUGCUUAUUCUAGGAGUUUUCCUUUGUAAUUCGAGCAUAUUGUUCUUUCUUACUGCUUGUUAAUUUUGAUUGUACGCAAAUCAGUAAAAUUAUUGUAGCUUUUCUUGUAAUUUGGACAAUCACUCUAAUGUGUCUCAUGCUUUGAUUGAUUCGGGAUAUACGUGUCUCAUGCUUUGAUUGAUUCGGGAUAUACGUGUCGUUUUUUUAAUUGAAAUCUGGUUAGCUGGGAAUGACCUAUUCUGGGAGCUCUGUUGGGGGGCAUGAUGGGGGGCUCUCAACAUUCAUUGGCCUCUUGGCAUUCAUCGAUUCUAGGUGGUCCUCAGGAGGCUGAUGUUGGUGGAUACAGAGAUUAUGCUUCAGCCACAUCACAUUAUGAGGGCCAACACAGAGCUGUUUAUGGCUCAGCUUCCAUGAGUGGUGCUCAACAGGGAAUUCUUACAGAAUCACUGGGCAAAGACUUGAAUGAUCAUGUAUUUACCCUAGUGGAAGGCAUUGUCGAUGCUGGCAAAAACAGUGGCAAUACUGGUAGUUGUGAGGAGUUGUUAGGAGGUGAUGAGGAGGGAGAGAGAUCUGUAGCCUCUGUUGAGGACCAACGCAAGGAAAUGACCAUCUACGAGAAGUUUAUAAUGGGCAUUGGAUCGCAUUCACAAUACUCUCAAGGUGCGAAUGGUUUAAAAUUUUAAACAUGCCCCAUUACUUUCGCUGGAUAUAUUUGAACCAAAUCGCUCCAAACAUCAUGUUGCUCCAGAUGUUUUGCGUAGCUGAUCCUCCUUACGACAAGUCACUCCAACAAUUGCAAAGCUUUUUAUCAGGUCUAGUUUCUGAAGAGAAGUUAGAACUAAGGGAUGGGAUGUAUUUCUUGAAGAAGUAAAAGCUGGCAUUCUUGUAAUUCACCCAUCAACUCUUGAAAAAUGUACCGGAAGAUCUUGAUAUAGCUUAACAGAGGGAGGUUUGGAACAGAAAAUGCAGCUUUAUGAAGAUGGAGAUCUCUGUAGCAAGACUGUCUCCCUUUCAAUUAUCAGCAAUCCCAACUAUCCUCUUGAAUCAUAUCCGACUCCCGUUAUGCCAAGUACUCCUGCUAUGCACGUCGGGUGAUUUCUAGGAGCUUUCCAUACAUUGAUUACAGGACAGUAAACGAAAGAUGAAAACAUUGAGUUACAAUUUCCCAAAAAAAUUUAUAAGGGUGUCCUUUCGUGGCUUCCUUUAUUAAUUAAAACCAUUCCCCUCGCUGUCACCGUUAAUUAAUUAAA